CCUACGGGUGGCAGCAGUGGGGAAUAUUGCACAAUGGGGGAAACCCUGAUGCAGCAACGCCGCGUGAGUGAUGAAGGCCUUCGGGUUGUAAAGCUCUGUCUUCAGGGACGAAAAUGACGGUACCUGAGUAGGAAGCCACGGCUAACUACGUGCCAGCAGCCGCGGUAAUACGUAGGUGGCGAGCGUUGUCCGGAUUUACUGGGUGUAAAGGGGGCGUAGGCGGACAUGUAAGUGAGGUGUGAAAUACUCGGGCUCAACCUGGGUGCUGCAUUUCAAACUGGACGGCGGGAGUGCAGGAGAGGGGAGUGGAAUUCCUAGUGUAGCGGUGAAAUGCGUAGAGAUUAGGAAGAACACCAGUGGCGAAGGCGACUCACUGGACUGUAACUGACGCUGAGGCUCGAAAGCGUGGGGAGCAAACAGGAUUAGAUACCCCUGUAGUC
rnacentral:rRNA from 1 species